CUACGGGGCGCUCCAGUGGGGAAUUUUGCGCAAUGGGCGAAAGCCUGACGCAGCAACGCCGUGUGAGUGAUGAAGGCCUUCGGGUUGUAAAGCUCUGUCAAGUGGGAAGGAGCUCUGACGGUACCACUGAAGGAAGCCCCGGCUAACUCCGUGCCAGCAGCCGCGGUAAUACGGAGGGGGCAAGCGUUGUUCGGAAUCAUUGGGCGUAAAGCGUAUGUAGGCGGCCAGAUAAGUCAGGCGUGUAAGCCCACGGCUCAACCGUGGAAUUGCGCUUGAAACUGUCUGACUUGAGUACAGGAGAGGAAAGCGGAAUUCCCAGUGUAGCGGUGAAAUGCGUUGAUAUUGGGAAGAACACCGGUGGCGAAGGCGGCUUUCUGGUCUGUUACUGACGCUGAGAUACGAAAGCCAGGGGAGCGAACGGGAUUAGAUACCCGAGUAGUC
rnacentral:rRNA from 1 species